AGAGCGAACGCUGGCGGCGUGCUUAACACAUGCAAGUCGAGCGGAAAGGCCCUUCGGGGUACUCGAGCGGCGAACGGGUGAGUAACACGUGAGCAACCUGCCCUUAGCUCCGGGAUAGCUCCGGGAAACCGGAAUUAAUACCGGAUACAACCACGGCCGACAUCUGCUGUGGUGGAAAGGAUUCCGGCUAAGGAUGGGCUCGCGGCCUAUCAGCUAGUUGGUGGAGUAACGGCCCACCAAGGCGACGACGGGUA
rnacentral:rRNA from 1 species